rnacentral:lncRNA from 1 species
AGGUUUGUGAACUUGAUCUCCCGGAUUUGUUUCUAUUCAUCACGUUUAUCCUUCUUGUAGCACUCGAUGAUCAAUUGAUUAUAUUCUGGUAAUUCUUCAGCACUACAAAAUAACUGGCCCAGAGCUAGGGGUAUCCACCCUUGCAGAUGCCAUAACAUGUCGAAUUGCUGCUCGGGAUGCUUUAUGAGAACGGUGAAGUUGCUGUCUUAUCUUCAUCCUUUCGUUGUUUUUCUGGCUUCCUAUGCUUCUCUUGUCUUUCAGUAAUGAGGAUUAGUGUUCUGUAAUUACAAUGUCGAUUCACGAGGCAUUGCUUCUUAGGGGAUGGAGCGAAAGAAAUGGCAACGCCGAAGUAUUUGUGGUUAAACAGUUCUGGUUAAAAUGCUUGG